GACGAACGCUGGCGGCGUGCCUAAUACAUGCAAGUCGAACGAGUGGCGGACGGGUGAGUAAUGUCUGGGAAACUGCCCGAUGGAGGGGGAUAACUACUGGAAACGAUAGCUAAUACCGCAUACCAUCGGAUUUGCCCAGAUGGGAUAAGCUAGUAGGUGGGGUAACGGCUCACCUAGGCGACGAUCCCUAGCUGGUCUGAGAGGAUGACCGGCCAAAGUGGAACUGAGACACGGACCAGACUCCUACGGGAGGCAGCAGUGGGGAAUAUUGCACAAUGGGCGCAAGCCUGAUGCAGCCAUGCCGCGUGUAUGAAGAAGGCGUUCGGGUUGUAAAGUACUUUCAGCGAGGAGGCGUUACUCGCAGAAGAAGCACCGGCUAACUCCGUGCCAGCAGCCGCGGUAAUUC
rnacentral:rRNA from 1 species